rnacentral:misc_RNA from 1 species
AACUGGUGUCGGGCCCUGAC